rnacentral:rRNA from 1 species
GAUGAACGCUGGCGGCGUGCCUAAUACAUGCAAGUCGAGCGAACAGACGAGGAGCUUGCUCCUCUGACGUUAGCGGCGGACGGGUGAGUAACACGUGGAUAACCUACCUAUAAGACUGGGAUAACUUCGGGAAACCGGAGCUAAUACCGGAUAAUAUAUUGAACCGCAUGGUUCAAUAGUGAAAGACGGUUUUGCUGUCACUUAUAGAUGGAUCCGCGCCGCAUUAGCUAGUUGGUAAGGUAACGGCUUACCAAGGCAACGAUGCGUAGCCGACCUGAGAGGGUGAUCAGCCACACUGGAACUGAGACACGGUCCAGACUCCUACGGGAGGCAGCAGUAGGGAAUCUUCCGCAAUGGGCGAAAGCCUGACGGAGCAACACCGCGUGAGUGAUGAAGGUCUUCGGAUCGUAAAGCUCUGUUAUUAGGGAAGAACAAAUGUGUAAGUAACUAUGCACGUCUUGACGGUACCUAAUCAGAAAGCCACGGCUAACUACGUG